rnacentral:rRNA from 1 species
GAAGCUGAGUAAGGGCACACGGAGGAUGCCUAGGCGGCGGGAGCCGAAGAAGGACGUGCUAAGCUGCGAAAAGCCCGGAGGAGGUGCACAGGACCUGUGAUGCCGGGAUAUCCGAAUGGGAGAACCUGCAUACCUGGAGGGUAUGCGCGAGAGAGGUAAGCCGGCGAACUGAAACAUCUAAGUAGCCGGAGGAGAAGAAAGUAAAAACGAUUCCCUGAGUAGCGGCGAGCGAACGGGGAGGAGCCUAAACCGUAUAAGUGUUAAAGCUGGCGGCGUUGCAUAUACGGGGUAGAGGGAACAUACUGGACUGACGCCAUAAGGUCGAGUUGAUUAUGAUGUAAGCGGAACGCGGCUGGAAAGCCGGACCGUAGGAGGUGAGAGUCCUGUAGAGCGUAAAGUCAUAAUAGCUUGUAUGAGAUCCCGAGUAGCAUCGGACACGAGGAAUCCGGUGUGAAUCAGCGUGGACCAUAUCACGUAAGGCUAAAUACUUCCGCCGACCGAUAGAGGAGAGUACCGUGAGGGAAAGGUGAAAAGAACCCUGAGCAAGGGAGUGAAAGAGAAUUUGAAACCGUGUGCUUACAAGCGGUAGGAGCCCAUAUGGGUGACUGCGUGGAUUUUGGUUAAUCAUCCUGCGAGUUAUGAUGUGUGGCGAGGUUAAGUGUAAGCGGAGCCGAAGGGAAACCGAGUCUUAAUAGGGCGAGAGUCGCAUGUCAUAGACGCGAAACCUAGUGAUCUAGGCCUGUCCAGGCUGAAGCUGAGGUAAGACUCAGUGGAGGGCCGAACUCACCGCCGUUGAAAAGUUGGGAGAUGAGAUAGGUCUAGGGGUGAAAAGCCAAUCGAACUAGGAGAUAGCUCGUUCUCUCCGAAAUGCAUUUAGGUGCAGCCUUGGUUGAAGAUAUGCGGGGGUAGAGCACUGUAUGGCCUAGGGGGCGUAUAGCUUACCGAAGUCAAGCAAACUGCGAAUACCGUAUAUUGUUUACCGGGAGUGAGUCUACGGAUGACAAGGUCCGUGGACGAGAGGGGAACAGCCCGGACCGCCAGCUAAGGUCCCAAAUUAUGUCUAAGUGGGAAAGGAGGUGGAUAUUCACAGACAACCAGGAGGUUGGCUUAGAAGCAGCCAUACCUUGAAAGAGUGCGUAAUAGCUCACUGGUCGAGAGUAUCUGCGCCGAAGAUAUAACGGGGCUAAGACAUGAACCGAAGCCGCGGAAGCGUGCUAGGCACGUUUGGUAGGAGAGCGUUCUGUAGGCUGUAGAAGGUGUCCUGAAAGGGAUGCUGGAGGUAUCAGAAGUGAGAAUGCAGGAAUGAGUAGCGAGAAGGAGGGCGAGAAUCCCUCCGGCCGGAAGUCCAAGGUUUCCAGGGGAAGGUUUGUCCGCCCUGGGGGAGUCGGGACCUAAGCAUAAGCAGAGCUGCGAAGGCGAAUGGAAAACAGGUUAAUAUUCCUGUACCGCUGUGUACUGACUGAGAGAUGGAGUGACGCAGGAAGGUAUGCGGGAAGGCUGACGGAAUAGCCUUUCUAAGGGUGAAGCGUGGACAUAUAGGCAAAUCCGUAUGUUUAGACGUGAGGCCUGACGGGUAAGUGCCAUAUGGCAUAAGCCGCAGAUCCUACACUGCCGGGAAAAACUUCUAUUUAGGGAAGCAGCGCCCGUACUGUAAACCGACACAGGUGGACAGAGUGAGAAACUUAAGGCCGACAGGAUAACUCUAGCUAAGGAACUCUGCAAAAUAGCCCCGUAACUUCGGGAGAAGGGGUGCCUGACAUACCUGAAGGAGAGAAGCGCUCCCAGGGGAAACAGGCCGCAGUGAAGAGUCUCAAGCAACUGUUUACCAAAAACACAGGUCUAUGCUAAGCUGAAAGGCGACGUAUAUGGGCUGACACCUGCCCAGUGCCGGAAGGUUAAGAGGAGGAUUGAGAGAUCCGAAUUGAAGCCCCGGUGAACGGCGGCCGUAACUAUAACGGUCCUAAGGUAGCGAAAUUCCUUGUCGGGUAAGUUCCGACCUGCACGAAUGGUGAAAUGAUUUGGGAGCUGUCUUGGCCGGAGACCUGGUGAAGUUGUAAUGCCGGUGAAGAUACCGGUUACCUGCAGUAGGACGGAAAGACCCCGUGGAGCUUUACUGCAGCCUGGCAUUGGGUUUCGGCAAUGUGUGUAUAGGAUAGCUGGGAGGCUAAGAAGAUAUGGCGUCAGCUGUAUUGGAGCCGCUGUUGGAAUACCAGCCACGCAUUGUUGGGAUUCUAAUCUCAUAAGAUGGGAGACAGUGCUAGGUGGGCAGUUUGACUGGGGCGGUCGCCUCCAAAAGAGUAAC